UAUGUCGAUUCGGUUCGCUGAACAUUUCAAUCGCACUCGAAAUUAGUUCAACGAGCUUCCUAGCUCAGUUCAGGCUAAGAUUAGAGAUAUCGGCUUCUAUUGAUUCGUGGUCACACUCCCAUCAGUCAUCGGAAGGGUCGAUCACACUUCUAUCAAUCCGUGCUCGAGAGGUGGAUGGACACAACUCAUGUUAGUGAGCUGACUCUCUCUCCCCUUUCUUUUUUUGCUAUCACCGACAUUAACUUUUAUAGCACACCUAUGCCAUUCGACAAUGUAAUCCAUAAUUAGCAUUCCGACGUCUGGGAGUGCCCCAUUCGAAUCAUGAUGCAUUUCUUAUCAGGGCAUCCCCCAAUUACUGGAGCUUUGUUCCUUGGAAUGCUCGGGAGGUUGACCAGAUGGCCCGAGCCUUUUUGGUGUACCUCUUUGCUACAACAUUAUUCAAUGACUCGGGGAACUCAAUGAACUUCCACUAUCUACCACCACUGUGGGACUUGGACUAGGUCUCUUCUUACAACUGGGGAUCUACGGCUCUCACAUAUUUGUACCAUUCAAUGGAUGUUACCAUUCAAGGAAGCAAGAGGAUCUACAGUUUUUGGUUUGGGCCUUGGAGAUCAAACUUCUGGUGGGUUCACAACCCAUUUGCACCUCACGGGCUUUUCCUCGCUUGAGUCGUUCGGGCUCAAGCAGGACCAUUACUCUAGAGUGGUCUCAAGUUUACAUGCACCGCAUGCAGAUCAAUAGUUUAACCUGGGAUAUGGUGAUUAACUAGGAGAGCAUAGCCAAUGAGAGCCCUAAUUAUUAUUUGUAGCUGACCUCGAGCAGAGGAGGAUCCUACUAAUCAGACCCGCCUGUUGGGCUUGGUAAUUAGGAGAGAGGAUCUAUGGCUGGGAGCGAGGCCCCAACAGGCACCGAGUCCCAUUAUCCCAUCCUCUUUCCAUGUUCUGUACAGAAGAUCUUGCUAGCAAGGAAUUAGCAGAGUGCUUGAUGGGGUAUGAGGAGCCCGAAGAUAUUACAAUCCAAUCUCAAUGGAUGGACUAUACCUCAUUCAUCCCUCAACUGUUGGGGGUCGUACCUCUCAGCGAUGAUGCUGUAGCUCAAGUAUUUUCUUGAAUUCACUUAGAAUUCCCCUUUUGUUAAAUGUUGCUUUCUUAAUCAUUUAUUUACAGCUUAUCCACUAGGCUCCUACUAUUCGUGAGCUAACUAAGGGAUGGUCCUCUCGAAGCUCCAAGCUUUAUCAUAUCGUAGGCUUUUCUAUCGGUGUGCUUCUAAGGCAUCUUCUACGACCAUGUCUGAUGUGGUUCUAAGGAGUGUUCGAUUCCUCUUGAUUUGAUGGUCUUAUAUUGGAGAUCAUAUGGCGUGAUGGAGCACCAGCUUGCUAUGGAGCUAGUGCCUCCCUCUGAAGUUCACUCUGAGUACUUACACCCAUAAGGACCAUGAGGGCUUGCAGGGGCAACUGGACUACCUGCAGCAUCAGAUUGACGCUCAGCAAUGUCAGAUUGACACACUAACCCUUCAACUAUUAGCCUUGCAAACCCAAGGAAUGGAUACUA